GAUGAACGCUAGCUACAGGCUUAACACAUGCAAGUCGAGGGGAAACGAUAUUGGAAGCUUGCUUCCGAUAGGCGUCGACCGGCGCACGGGUGAGUAACGCGUAUCCAACCUGCCCAUCACUUGGGAAUAACCUUGCGAAAGUAAGACUAAUGCCCAAUGACAUUUAUAGAAGGCAUCGGAAAUGAAUUAAAGAUUUAUCGGUGAUGGAUGGGGAUGCGUCUGAUUAGCUUGUUGGCGGGGUAACGGCCCACCAAGGCGACGAUCAGUAGGGGUUCUGAGAGGAAGGUCCCCCACAUUGGAACUGAGACAUGGUUCAAACUCCUACGGGAGGCAGCAGUGAGGAAUAUUGGUCAAUGGGCGAGAGCCUGAACCAGCCAAGUAGCGUGCAGGAAGACGGCCCUAUGGGGUUGUAAACUGCUUUUAUAGGGGAAUAAAGUGAGCCACGUGUGGCUUUUUGCAUGUACCCUAUGAAUAAGGACCGGCUAAUUCCGUGCCAGCAGCC
rnacentral:rRNA from 1 species